rnacentral:rRNA from 1 species
UACGUAGGUCCCGAGCGUUGUCCGGAUUUAUUGGGCGUAAAGCGAGCGCAGGUGGUUUAUUAAGUCUGGUGUAAAAGGCAGUGGCUCAACCAUUGUAUGCAUUGGAAACUGAUAGACUUGAGUGCAAGAGAGGAGAGUGGAAUUCCAUGUGUAGCGGUGAAAUGCGUAGAUAUAUGGAGGAACACCGGUGGCGAAAGCGGCUCUCUGGCCUGUAACUGACACUGAGGCUCGAAAGCGUGGGGAGCAAACAGG